rnacentral:rRNA from 1 species
UACAGAGGGUGCGAGCGUUAAUCGGAAUUACUGGGCGUAAAGCGCGCGUAGGCGGCUUUGCAAGUCGGGGGUGAAAUCCCCAGGCUUAACCUGGGAACUGCAUUCGAGACUGCAUUGCUAGAGUAUGGGAGAGGGAAGUGGAAUUUCAGGUGUAGCGGUGAAAUGCGUAGAUAUCGUAAGGAAGACCAGUGGCGAAGGCGGGUCUCUGGACAGUUCCUGACGCUGAGGCACGAAGGCCAGGGGAGCAAACGGG